rnacentral:tRNA from 1 species
AGGAUUAUAGUUUAAAAAAACAUUUGAUUUGCAUUCAAAAAAUAUUGAAAAUUUAAAUCAAUUUAUCUUA